rnacentral:tRNA from 1 species
GGGGACGUAGCUCAGCUGGGAGAGCGCUGCGUUCGCAAUGCAGAGGUCGGGAGUUCGAAUCUCCUCGUCUCCA